AGAUUGAACGCUGGCGGCAUGCCUAACACAUGCAAGUCGAACGGGAGUAGCAAUACUCUAGUGGCGGACGGGUGAGGAAUACGUAGGAAUUUGCCCUUAAGUGGGGGAUAACCCGGGGAAACCCGGAUUAAUACCGCAUGACCUCGAAAGAGCAAAGUGGGGGAUCGCAAGACCUCACGCUUUUGGAGAAGCCUACGUCGGAUUAGCUAGUUGGUGAGGUAAUGGCUCACCAAGGCGACGAUCCGUAACUGGUCUGAGAGGAUGAUCAGUCACACCGGAACUGAGACACGGUCCGACUCCUACGGGAGGCAGCGAGUGGGGAAUAG
rnacentral:rRNA from 1 species